GAGUCCCUGCGGUGUUCGUGGUGCAGGAGGUAAUAUCGAGCCAACACCUUGAAAACGGGAGCUGAUGUCCAGAGCCCCUUGGGGUGAUCGGCUAGGCACCCACCUGUUGCUACAGGCUCAAGGAUGAAACCUGCAUUAUCGGCACUCGCGGGGAUUCC
rnacentral:other from 1 species